CCCUCUUUUCUGCCCAGUGAGAAUAUUUUUUUUUCAUUUAACAUAAUGAAGUUUUUGAUAUUGUGUUUUUUGGUGGCUUUGCCAAAAGGUGUCUUCCUGGAUGUUCAGCUUGUAUCUUCUGGACCUGGGAUAGUGAGACCUGGGGAAACUCUCCACCUGCUUUGUAAAGUGACUGGGUUCUCCAUCUCUACUCGAUAUUAUCCAUGGCAUUGGGUCCGACAGCCUCGUGGCAAAGGUUUAGAAUGGGUUGCAGAAAUAUAUCCCUACGAUGGGAGCAAACGCUAUGCCACUUCUCUAAAGAGUCGAAUCACCAUCUCUUCAGACACUUCCAAGAAUGAGUUCUCGCUCCAGCUGAGUUCUCUGACAUCAGAGGACUCAGCAGUGUAUUUCUGUGCCCGAAGGACACAGUGA